rnacentral:rRNA from 1 species
AACGCGAAGAACCUUACCUGGGCUCGAAGUGCUCGGGACCAGCGGUGGAAACAUCGCCUUCCCGCAAGGGACUCGAGUAGAGGUGCUGCAUGGCUGUCGUCAGCUCGUGCCGUGAGGUGUUGGGUUAAGUCCCGCAACGAGCGCAACCCUUACUCUUAGUUGCCACCCGCAAGGGGGAACUCUAAGAGGACUGCUCCGGAUAACGGAGAGGAAGGUGGGGAUGACGUCAAGUCAGCACGGCCUUUAUGUCCAGGGCUACACACGUGUUACAAUGCACGGUACAAACCGUCGCGAACCCGUGAGGGGGAGCUAAUCGGAGAAAACCGUGCUCAGUUCGGAUUGCAGUCUGCAACUCGACUGCAUGAAGCCGGAAUCGCUAGUAAUGGCGUAUCAGAACGACGCCGUGAAUACGUUCCCGGGCCUUGUA